CUGAGGCACGAAAGCGUGGGUAGCAAACAGGAUUAGAUACCCUGGUAGUCCACGCCGUAAACGAUGAGUACUAAGUGUCGGGAUAAAACUCGGUACUGAAGUUAACACAUUAAGUACUCCGCCUGAGUAGUACGUACGCAAGUAUGAAACUUAAAGGAAUUGACGGGACUCCGCACAAGCGGUGGAUCAUGUUGUUUAAUUGAAGAUACACGAAAACCUUACCAGGUCUUGACAUACUCUGCAAAGCUAUAGAAAUAUAGUGGAGGUUAUCAGGGAUACAGGUGGUGCAUGGUUGUCGUCAGCUCGUGUCGUGAGAUGUUAGGUUAAGUUCUAAAACGAGCGCAACCCUUGUCGUUAGUUACCAGCACGUUAUGGUGGGGACUUUAGCGAGACCGCCAAUUAAAAAUUGGGGGAAGGUGAGGAUUACGUCAAGUCAUCAUGCCCCUUAUGAUCUGGGCUACAAACGUGAACAAUGGCUGGUACAAAGAGUCGCUUAAACGUAGUUUUUGGCUAAUCUCAAAAAAGCAGUCUCAGUUCGGAUUGAAGUCUGCAACUCGUCUUCAUGAAGUUGGAAUCGCUGGUAAUCCCGAAUCAAGUCGUGGUGAAGAAUGUCGUCGUGGGUUUUUGUCCCCGCCCGUC
rnacentral:rRNA from 1 species